rnacentral:rRNA from 1 species
AUUGAACGCUGGCGGCAGGCCUAACACAUGCAAGUCGAACGGUAACAGGGAUCAGCUUGCUGAUUCGCUGACGAGUGGCGGACGGGUGAGUUAUGUCUUGGAAACUGCCUGAUGGAGGGGGAUAACUACUGGAAACGGUAGCUAAUACCGCAUAACGUCGCAAGACCAAAGAGGGGGACCUUCGGGCCUCUUGCCAUCGGAUGUGCCCAGAUGGGAUUAGCUAGUAGGUGGGGUAACGGCUCACCUAGGCGACGAUCCCUAGCUGGUCUGAGAGGAUGACCAGCCACACUGGAACUGAGACACGGUCCAGACUCCUACGGGAGGCAGCAGUGGGGAAUAUUGCACAAUGGGCGCAAGCCUGAUGCAGCAAUGCCGCGUGUAUGAAGAAGGCCUUCGGGUUGUAAAGUACUUUCAGCGGGGAGGAAGGGAGUAAAGUUAAUACCUUUGCUCAUUGACGUUACCCGCAGAAGAAGCACCGGCUAACUCCGUG